rnacentral:rRNA from 1 species
AACGAACGCUGGCGGCAUGCCUAACACAUGCAAGUCGAACGAGCCCUUCGGGUCUUGUGGCGCACGGGUGCGUAACGCGUGGGAACCUGCCCUUAGGUUCGGAAUAACUCCCCGAAAGGGGUGCUAAUACCGGAUAAUGUCUUCGGACCAAAGAUUUAUUGCCUUUGGUUGGGCCCUCGUUGGAUUAGCUAGUUGGUAGGGUAAUAGCCUACCAAGGCGACGAUCCAUAGCUGGUCUGAGAGGAUGAUCAGCCACACUGGGACUGAGACACGGCCCAGAAUCCUACGGGAGGCGGGAGUGGGGAAUAGUGGACAGUGGGCGAAAGCCUGAUCCAGCAAUGACGCGUGAGUGAUGAAGGCCUUAGGGUUGUAAAGCGCUUUUACCCGGGAUGAUAAUGACAGUACCGGGAGAAUAAGCUCCGGCUAACUCCGUG